rnacentral:lncRNA from 10 species
UGUUGGGGAACUGAAGGAGUUUCUGUGGGCGGACAGGGAACCCUGCGUUUCUACUGUGUGAUUCUGCCACCUUCCUGGCCCGACGCCAUGGGAGUGACUUGGGCUGUUGAAUAGCACUUUCUGUGAUGAUGGAAAUGUUCUCUAACAACAGUGUCCAAUACACUAGUCCCAGCCACCUGUGGCUCUGGGCUACUGUGCUGAACAGCUCAAGUUCACAGAGUUGUGUGUCCCAGAUGCCUGUGGCCGAGGGCAAGAGUGUUCAGCAAACCGUAGAGCUCCUUACCCGGAAAUUGGAGAUGCUUGGGGC